ensembl:lncRNA
UAGUAUAUUAAACAAAUCCCAGCACCACACCAAAAGGAGGCAGCAAAUCAGAGCUAAACAUAUCCAUCUGCUAAUUUCCACAUGGUAAGAGAGCAACACAAAACAGGUUUAUAAUAUUUGGAUGUUUUAUUUUCUUUAAAUCAAGCAGGUUACAUUUCAUUUGUUUUUUUUUUACACAAUCUGAUAUUUAGAGGCAUUUGCAAAUAUGCUCAUAAAUUACAUGAUUUGUAAUCCCAAAGAAGGUGGUUAAUGAUCAAUAUUGGGAUCAACAGUGAUCACCCUACUAAUGUAGGCAUUACGUAUACAGGCCGAAAAAGAAAAGUUCCCAUUAAGGUCUCAUGUGAAACACCACAGGUCUGAAAUACUCAGGAACACAUGAAAAUGGCACAAAAAUGAAUUUCACUCUCCAACCUUUUGCUAAAGAGACGUUGACAGGCCCACAGAGAGCCUGGACGCUCACGGGACAACAUUCACACACAUUCUGCUUCAUGAAGAGGUCAGAUUAUCGUCAGACCAUAGACAUUACAUGUAAGGACACUGAACAUUUGGCCGGAUUACACAUAGAAAUGCAAUCCAAAAUGGGUAAAGAUAAAGCAUGUUUAUUGAUGCGGCAAACAAAGGUUCAAAUAUCCUCCAAAGCACUUCAAGCCCUCAAAGAAUGAAACUCAAAACACAGAUAAGGUAAAAGAAGAAACUUCUAAAUUAAAGUGGAGCGACCCAGGGACAAGUCUGGUUUGGGUUAAAGAUUAUGGAUGGUUAACUUUGUGUAACGUGUUUGGAAAAGCAAGUUUAGGUUUUAGGCAAGCGACUUCAGGUAUUAGGCAAGCGAGUACAGGCAAGCGAGUUUAGGUUUUAUGCAAGCGAGUUUAGGCAAGCGAGUCAAGCUAAGCGAGUUGAGGUUUUAUGCAAGCGAGUUCAGGUAUUAGGCAAGCGAGUUUAGGCAAGCGAGUUUAGGCAAGCGAGUUUAGGCAAGCGAGUUUAGGCAAGCGAGUUUAGGCAAGCGAGUUUAGGCAAGCGAGUUUAGGCAAGCGAGUUUAGGCAAGCGAGUUUAGGCAAGCGAGUUUAGGCAAGCGAGUUCAGGUAUUAGGCAAGCGACGCGAGUUUAGCCAAGCAAGUUCAGGUUUUAUGCAAGCGAGUUUAGACAAGCGAGUUUAGGCAAGCAAGUUUAGGUAAGAGAGUCAAGUUACUUUAGGCCUCACUUUAUUUGCGGUUAAAUUGCGGCAUUAGGUUUAGAAAGAAGGUUAAGAUCCAGGCUCAGGUUUGCUUCCAGCCUCGUCCCUCUAGUCGCUCCCUAUAAAGAGGGUUCCCAGCUACCGUGUUAAAAUACAACAGCUGGGAUUACAGAUAUGGAGUACAGAAAUAAAUGACAAAGAUUGAUUCAAACAUUCUUCCCCCAAAAUGUGGUGCAACAUAAAAUGGAGAAAAAAUUACUUUCUCUCCAUUGAAACCCAGUCAUAUCUUACGAUCUCACAAGGUCCCGCCGCAAGGGGCGGACUUACGAGCUCUAUAGAGUGUGCACUGUGUUGAUGUUGGGUGUGGAUUAAUGUGCUGGUGUAGCCAUCCAGGGAUCCUCAGGGUUUAUGGGAGUAGGACACACUGGUGUAGCCAUCCAGGGAUCCUCAGGGUUUAUGGGAGUAGGCCACACUGGUGUAGU